rnacentral:rRNA from 1 species
UACAGAGGGGGCAAGCGUUGUUCGGAAUUACUGGGCGUAAAGGGCGCGUAGGCGGCCGGCUAAGUCAGACGUGAAAUCCCUCGGCUCAACCGGGGAACUGCGUCUGAUACUGGGUGGCUUGAGUCCGGGAGAGGGAUGCGGAAUUCCAGGUGUAGCGGUGAAAUGCGUAGAUAUCUGGAGGAACACCGGUGGCGAAGGCGGCAUCCUGGACCGGCAUUGACGCUGAGGCGCGAAAGCUAGGGGAGCAAACGGG